UACAGAGGUGGCAAGCGUUGUUCGGAUUUACUGGGCGUAAAGGGCUCGUAGGCGGCCAACUAAGUCAGACGUGAAAUCCCUCGGCUUAACCGGGGAACUGCAUCUGAUACUGGAUGGCUUGAGUUCGGGAGAGGGAUGCGGAAUUCCAGGUGUAGCGGUGAAAUGCGUAGAUAUCUGGAGGAACACCGGUGGCGAAGGCGGCAUCCUGGACCGACACUGACGCUGAGGAGCGAAAGCCAGGGGAGCAAACGGG
rnacentral:rRNA from 1 species